CAGCAGAACCGCAGCUGCAGCAGCAAGUCCAAACCAUCCGCCCAGGAAGCGCCGCAACCAGGGCUUGGGAGGAGCGGAUGGGGCAAGGCAGGGGUCUAACCCAGGGGUAGUCUUGGACCCACUUUCCACCAUAAACUCCCUCUUUGCCCAGGGCAAGCCGACAAAAUGUGGUUCAAGCUGACCAGGCCGAGCCGUGGAGGAAUGCUGGGGUUCGCCCGCAGAAGGGAUGGGACCAGAGAGGAGGGGUAAAGGAGACCCCAGUAAAGGGCAGGCCAUUUCAGGUGAAGAAAGGUAAGAGGAAUCUGUGAAGUCAAGGGCCAGGCUGUGGAGGAGAUUAAAGGAGGUCAAAGAGAGGUAAGGGGGUAAGGUUGCUGAGAAGAGAACCAGCUGCUUCUUCCUGCUGCUGCUGCUGCUGGUGGUGGUGGGGUUAAGUAUUUGGGAAGGCCUGAGCUGGGUACAUAAGCAAAGAGCCUGAGCUGGGCGGUCCAGGCAAAAGAGGGUUAAAAGGAUGAAAGAAUUAGACUUGAGGUUAGAAGGCCAUAAGGAUGGGUGUUAGAAUUAGAGGGAGACCUAAUGCAUUCAUAAGUGAUGGAGAGAGACGGAUAAUCAAGGCCAGGCCGGAAUGUUGGUCCUCUCCCAUCCCACUCCUCAGUUACUGAGUUAGUGUUUUCUUAUCCUUUUUCCACAAUUCUGCCAACCCCGUUUUCCUUAUAAAGACGGAAAAGUGUGAACCAACAGAAAAA
rnacentral:lncRNA from 1 species